UUGUUGUUGUUGUAUGCAUCUUUAAUUUUCUACUACUGUGCUUUUUUCUUGAGCCUACAGGGCAAGUUGUCUGCUUCUAAAAUGUGCAAGAAAUCUGAGCUUAGCAUGGUUUUUUCUUGAGGCUACAUGGCAAGUUGCCUGCUUCUAAAAGGUGCAGGAAAUCUGAGAUUAACACGGUAAGUUGGAUUAUCUGUUGCAGUCCUAGAGUGUUCCUUGGGCAGUAGGAGAAAACGGAUCUAGAUUGGGAGGUCUAGCAUUAUGUCAGUAAAUUAUACGGUAAUGAAAACCAAGUACUAGAACUGUACCAUUUACUUAGUAUUUAUAAUUCAGGUGUUAGUUUGUAUAGUAGGGAUUUCUUUUUGAUGCUUUCCGUACAUCGCACACUACAUUGUCUGGAGAUUUCGACUGCCAAGUAGAAUUGAACUUACUAGAAAACGAGGAUAGGAAUUGGACUGGAAACAAGAUGUUCAGCUUGGUGUGUAGGAAAAAUUGAAUCGGGAAUGUAUGUUCGUUAGAGGGCUGUUGUGAUGUCGUCUACGUGUUCCUGGUUUCAGAGUUUCAGAGUACAGAUAUUAUUUUCCCUUAUUCGUAUGAUCAAGGGAACACUAGCUUCCUUUUGAGAACACUAAAUGAAAACAACUAGCGCCGCACUUCCAGUCCAGUUUUUUUCU